GCAGCCAUCUCUUCCAGUGGCUCAUUCCUACUCAUGCAUGACUAUUACAAAUGCUCCUAGGCUCCACUUCCACCAACGGCUUCUGUGGAAGUGUUUAGUAUUUGGGGAUGCCAUCCCCCUACCAUCACCAGAGUCUCCCCACGGCUGGUCCUAAUCACUGGUGAGCAAGCUUCUUUUUGAGAAAUGUAUACUCCCAUUCAUGGCCACAGUAUUGGAGUCCUCAGAGCACUCAGGAUCUCCUCAGGUUUCCAGCUGCAUGUCCACCCAUGACCUGUCUGGGGAAGCCUUGAGAAAGAGGCCU
rnacentral:lncRNA from 1 species